rnacentral:pre_miRNA from 1 species
UUGGUUUAAAUCAUUAUGGAUCUACACUUUGGAAAUAGAACCAACACAAAGUGGUCGGACAUGUAUUGAUUUCAUCCAA